GGAUUAGAUACCCUGGUAGUCCACGCCGUAAACGAUGUCUACUUGGAGGUUGUGCCCUUGAGGCGUGGCUUCCGGAGCUAACGCGUUAAGUAGACCGCCUGGGGAGUACGGCCGCAAGGUUAAAACUCAAAUGAAUUGACGGGGGCCCGCACAAGCGGUGGAGCAUGUGGUUUAAUUCGAUGCAACGCGAAGAACCUUACCUGGUCUUGACAUCCACGGAACUUUCCAGAGAUGGAUUGGUGCCUUCGGGAACCGUGAGACAGGUGCUGCAUGGCUGUCGUCAGCUCGUGUUGUGAAAUGUUGGGUUAAGUCCCGCAACGAGCGCAACCCUUAUCCUUUGUUGCCAGCGAUUCGGUCGGGAACUCAAAGGAGACUGCCAGUGAUAAACUGGAGGAAGGUGGGGAUGACGUCAAGUCAUCAUGGCCCUUACGACCAGGGCUACACACGUGCUACAAUGGCGCAUACAAAGAGAAGCGACCUCGCGAGAGCAAGCGGACCUCAUAAAGUGCGUCGUAGUCCGGAUUGGAGUCUGCAACUCGACUCCAUGAAGUCGGAAUCGCUAGUAAUCGUGGAUCAGAAUGCCACGGUGAAUACGUUCCCGG
rnacentral:rRNA from 1 species